rnacentral:rRNA from 1 species
GUUUACCAAAAACAUCACCUCUAGCAUUUCCAGUAUUAGAGGCACUGCCUGCCCAGUGACAUCAGUUAAACGGCCGCGGUAUCCUGACCGUGCAAAGGUAGCAUAAUCAUUUGUUCCUUAAAUAGGGACUUGUAUGAAUGGCCACACGAGGGCUUUACUGUCUCUUACUUCCAAUCCGUGAAAUUGACCUUCCCGUGAAGAGGCGGGAAUAUGACAAUAAGACGAGAAGACCCUAUGGAGCUUUAAUUAACCGACCCAAAGAGAUCUUGAUAAUCAACCGACAGGGAUAACAUACCUCUACCAUGGGCCGACAAUUUAGGUUGGGGUGACCUCGGAGAAUAAAACAACCUCCGAGUGAUUUAAAUCUAGACUAACUAGUCGAAAGUACUACAUCACUUAUUGAUCCAAAAACUUGAUCAACGGAACAAGUUACCCUAGGGAUAACAGCGCAAUCCUAUUUUAGAGUCCAUAUCGACAAUAGG